rfam:Candidate division CPR1 bacterium GW2011_GWA2_42_17 TV05_C0044, whole genome shotgun sequence.
GAAUAGGAAUCGUAAGGGCGUAUGGUGGAUGCCUUGGCACAAAAAGGCGAUGAAGGACGUGGCGUAGCUGCGAUAAGUCACGGACCUCUCAGUAACCAGAGGAAAAGAAAACAUGUGUCUUACUUGUUUUAUUAAAGCUAAUUUUCAAAUGCAAAUUUGAUUUUUGGUUUUGAUAAAAUAAGUAGAUGCGCAUUCCCUUAGUAGCGGCGAGCGAAAAGGGAAGAGCUCAAACCGUGUGUGUUUGCGAUUUUUCGCAAAUGCGUGCGGGGUUGUAAGAUAAAGACGUUUCGUAAGAAGGAUGGCGCAAAAGAAAAAAUUUGUUAGUCAAAUGACUCUGGAAAGAGCAACCAAAGAAGGUGAUAGUCCUGUAGGCGAAAAUAAAUUUUCGCCAUCUGUCUUUGUCUUGAGUAAUGCGGGGAACGACAGCCCCGUAUGAAUCCGGCUGGCCUACCAGCCAAAGCUAAAUACUUUUUGUGACCGAUAGUGAACAAGUACCGUGAGGGAAAGGUGAAAAGUAGCCCGAUGAGGGCGGUGAAAUAGUAACUGAAACCAUAUGCCUACAAUGAGUCGGAGCCUGUUCGCAUCUUACUGCGUAAGAUGCGAAGUUAAAAGUUUAAAAUUUAAAUUUAAAAGUUAAAGUUUAGAAGGUUAAAAUUUUUAAAAGAAAUUUUGACUAUUCAAUUCGAAACUUUUCAUUUUUAACUUUCAAUUUUUAAUUUGAGCAUCUUGUACAGCAAGAUGCGAAUGGGUGACGGCGUGCCUCUUGGAGAAUGAACCAACGACUGUAUGCGUAUUGCUGUUUAAUCCCGUUCUGCGGGAGAAGACAAAGGGAAACCGAGUCUGAAAGGGCGAUCGCAAUUAAUUUUUCUUUUUAUUAGCAGGUUAUUUUAUAGCCCACUAAUAAAAAGAAGAUUUUUUGCAAGUAUUACGUAUACGACCCGAAGCCAGGCGAGCUACCCAUGAUCAGGAUGAGCCUCACAGAAAUGUGAGGGGAGGUCCGAACCCACGAGCCGUACAAUACUCGGGGAUGAAUUGUGGGUCGAAGUGAAAAGCUAAUCGAGCCUGGGAAUAGCUGGCUCUCCCCGAAAUCGUUUUAGGACGAGCCUCAGAUGGUCCCGUUAGGAGGUAGAGCACUGGAUGGUAACCAUUGGGCGCAAGCUCGGGUUACCAAUCAAACUCCGAAUGCCUGACGGCAAAGUCUGGGAGUGAGACCGUGGGGGCGAAGCUCCACUGGUCAAAAGGAGAAGAAUCCUUAUCAUCAUCUAAGGUCCCUAAAUGAAUACUAAGUGGAAAAAGUGGUGUAAAUUCUUAUACAGCGAGGAGGUUGGCUUAGAAGCAGCCAUCCUUCAAAGAGUGCGUAACAGCUCACUCGCUUAGAAUUUAUGCGCUGAAAAUUUAACGGGGCUCAAGUAUUCUACCGAAGAUAUGGAUCAGCGCAUCUCACUAAGGCGAGAUGCUAAUCUCAAAAAUAAAAUAUCAAAUCUCAAAAAUACAAGCUAAAAAUUAAAUUUUUAAUUUAAAACUUAGUUUUGAGAUUUUAGAUUUAAAAUUUGAUUUUAAGCAUAUCACUUUAGUGAGAUGCGUUGGUGGUAGGGGAGCGUUUUCUGUGCAGUGAAGCCCAAAUGUGAGUUUGAGUGGAGCGCAGAGAAGUGCGAAUGUUGGUAUAAGUAACCGCAAGACCGGUGAAAGCCCGGUCCGCCGCAAAUCUCAGGUUUCCUUGGCAAUGACAAUCAACCAAGGGUUAGUCGGUCCUAAGGUGAUGCCGAAAGGCGCAGCUGAUGGACAGCAGGUUAAUAUUCCUGCACUACCAUAAAGAGUGAUGGAGGGACGCAAUCAAGUAUCUUGAUCCUGGCAGUGGUAUCCAGGUUGGUAGCGUGAGGGUCAGACGUAGGUAAAUCCGCGUCUGUGCAUUCAAUUGUGACCCCAAGCGUUAUCGGGUUCCGCUUUACGCGGAGAACUCAAGAAAGCUGGUUGCCGAGAAAAACUUCUAAACUUAUCUUUAUGGUAACCGUACCGCAAAACCGACGCAGGUAGAUGAGGAGAGUAUCCUCAGGCGAACGGGUGAGGCUUCGUUAAGGAACUCGGCAAAACAGCGGCCGUACCUUAGGUAUAUGGCCUGCCUUCUUUUGGUUUACGCAAGUAAAUUUUCAAGAGGGCCGCAGCGAAAGACAUUUGGCGACUGUUUAUCAAAAACACAGCUCUAUGCUAACUCGUAAGAGGAUGUAUAUGGGGCGACACUUGACCAGUGCUGGAACGUUAACGGUGAAGGUGUUGUUUGCUCGCAAGAGCAGGUAAUGCUUGAGCCCGAAGCGCCAGUGAACGUCAGCGAUAACUAUAAUCGUUCUAAGGUAGGGGAAAAGCUGCCUUAGUAAAAUCUAGCUAUAUGCUGGAAAGUCUGGUGAAUUCGGUGAUACUAAGGUAUAAUUAUUCCAUAGAAGAAAUAUGAAAAAAAUUAUACCGAGUGAAAAAUUAUCCGAUGCAGACAAUCAGCAGGAAAGAUUAAAAACGAUUGGAUGGAUUGUGGGUUAUGUUGACGGAGAAGGAUGCUUCUCUGUUAGCUUAAUAAAAAACCACAAAACUAAGUUUGGUUGGCAAGUUUUUCCAGAAUUUGUGGUUACACAAGGCGAGAAAAGUUUAUCCUCCCUCAAAUUUUUAAAAAGAUUUUUUGGAUGCGGUAAAAUUUUCGUGAAUCGCCGACAUGACGAUCACAAAGAAAACAUUUAUAGAUAUUGUAUUCGAUCAUUGAAUGAUCUGAAUUCAAUUAUUGUGCCGUUUUUUAAAUUGUAUAAGUUAAAAACAGCCAAGAAAAAUGAUUUUGAAAAAUUUGCUAAAAUUUUAAACUUAAUGAAAAAAGGCGCUCAUUCUAACCAGUUCGGAUUGCGCAAAAUAGCGCACUUGAUUGAGCGAAUGAAUCGUAAAAAACCAUCUAAGUUUUUAAAAUCCCCAGAGACUACACGCUAGAAUCCUAAAAAAUUGGAUAAGAUAUAGUCCGAACUCUAUGGCGACAUAGAGAGAAUGGUAGAAAUAACCAUUCCGCGUAUUACGCGUAACAAGCGAUGAGCGAAAUUCCUUGUCAGGUAAGUUCUGACGCGCAUCAAUAGUGUAACGACCAAAUGACUGUCUCAACGAAGUGCCCGGUGAAAUUGCAUUAGGGGUGAAGAUGCCCCUUACCUAUGGUUAGACGAAAAGACCCCGGGAGCUUUACUGUACCUUGAUAUUGGCCUUACGAUGCAGAUGCGUAGUGUAGUGGCGAGCCUUUGAAGCUUUGUUUUCGGACAAGGUGGAGGCGACAAUGAAACAGUCAUCUUUUGUAUUGUAUGUUCUAACUUCUAUGGCAAAAACAUAGGAAGACAGUGUCUGGUUGACAGUUUAAGUGGGGCGCUUGCCUCCAAAAAAGUAACGGAGGCGUUCAUUAAGGUCAGCUAAGUACGAAUGGAAACCGUACUGAUAGCGCAAUAGCAUAAGCUGGCUUGACUGCAAGGCGUACAUGCCGCGCUCUCUCGAAUUUAAUUACAAGAGAGAACUUUGUGGAUUUAUUCAUGAAGUAGGUACGAAAGUAGGAUAUAGUGAACCGACGGUUCGCAGUAGUUGCGGCCGGAGAUCAGCGGAUAAAAGUUACCCCGGGGAUAACAGGCUCGUCGCAUCCAAGAGUUCAUAUCGACGAUGCGGUUCGGCACCUCGAUGUCGGCUCGUCGCAUCCUGGAGGUGGAGAAGCUUCCAAGGGUUGGGCUGUUCGCCCAUUAAAGCGGCACGUGAGCUGGGUUCAAACCGUCGUGAGACAGGUUCGACUCCUGUCGACCAUAGGCGUGGAUCCUUGAGAGAAGUUGUUCCUAGUACGAGAGGACCGGAAUGAACUGACCUCUGGUGUACCAGUUGUCCUACCAAGGGCAUCGCUGGGUAGCUAUGUCGGGAAAUGAUAAGCGCUGAAAGCAUAUAAGCGCGAAGCAUAUCUCAAGAUUAGGGAUCAUUCCCGUAAAAGGGAUAAGAUCGGUUGAAGAUUACGACCUUGAUAGGCUGUAGGUGUAAGCGUGGUAACGCGCUCAGCCGAGCAGUACUAAUAGAUCAAUGUUCCUAUUCAA